GACGAACGCUGGCGGCGUGCUUAACACAUGCAAGUCGAACGGAAAGGCCUUUUCGGCGGUACUCGAGUGGCGAACGGGUGAGUAACACGUGGGUGAUCUGCCCUGCACUCUGGGAUAAGCCUGGGAAACUGGGUCUAAUACCGGAUAGGACCGCACUUUAGUGUGUGUGGUGGAAAGUUUUUUCGGUGUAGGAUGAGCCCGCGGCCUAUCAGCUUGUUGGUGGGGUAAUGGCCUACCAAGGCGGCGACGGGUAGCCGGACUGAGAGGUUGGUCGGCCACAUUGGGACUGAGAUACGGCCCAGACUCCUACGGGAGGCAGCAGUGGGGAAUACUGCACAAUGGGCGCAAGCCUGAUGCAGCGACGCCGCGUGGGGGAUGACGGCCUUCGGGUUGUAAACUCCUUUCGCCAGGGACGAAGCGUUUUGUGACGGUACCUGGAGAAGAAGCACCGGCUAACUACGU
rnacentral:rRNA from 1 species